rnacentral:rRNA from 1 species
UACAGAGGUCCCAAGCGUUGUUCGGAUUCAUUGGGCGUAAAGGGUGCGCAGGUGGCGCCGUAAGUCAGGUGUGAAAUCUCGGGGCUUAACUCCGAAACUGCAUUUGAUACUGCGGUGCUUGAGGACUGGAGAGGAGACUGGAAUUUACGGUGUAGCAGUGAAAUGCGUAGAGAUCGUAAGGAAGACCAGUGGCGAAGGCGGGUCUCUGGACAGUUCCUGACACUGAGGCACGAAGGCCAGGGGAGCAAACGGG